UACGUAGGGGGCAAGCGUUGUCCGGAAUCAUUGGGCGUAAAGAGCGUGUAGGCGGCCCGGUAAGUCCGCUGUGAAAGUCCAGGGCUCAACCCUGGAAUGCCGGUGGAAACUGUCGGGCUAGAGUCCGGAAGAGGCGAGUGGAAUUCCUGGUGUAGCGGUGGAAUGCGCAGAUAUCAGGAGGAACACCGAUGGCGAAGGCAGAUCUCUGGGCCGUAACUGACGCUGAGGAGCGAAAGCGUGGGGAGCGAACAGG
rnacentral:rRNA from 1 species